rnacentral:rRNA from 1 species
GCAGUCGAGCGCGCCUUUCGGGGUGAGCGGCGGACGGGUUAGUAACGCGUGGGAAUAUACCCUUUUCUACGGAAUAGCCUCUGGAAACGGAGAGUAAUACCGUAUGAGCCCUUCGGGGGAAAGAUUUAUCGGGAAAGGAUUAGCCCGCGUUAGAUUAGGUAGUUGGUGGGGUAAUGGCCUACCAAGCCUACGAUCUAUAGCUGGUUUUAGAGGAUGAUCAGCAACACUGGGACUGAGACACGGCCCAGACUCCUACGGGAGGCAGCAGUGGGGAAUCUUGGACAAUGGGGGCAACCCUGAUCCAGCCAUGCCGCGUGAGUGAUGAAGGCCUUAGGGUCGUAAAGCUCUUUCGCCUGUGAAGAUAAUGACGGUAGCAGGUAAAGAAACCCCGGCUAACUCCGUGCCAGCAGCCGCGGUAAUACGGAGGGGGUUAGCGUUGUUCGGAAUUACUGGGCGUAAAGCGCACGUAGGCGGACCAGAAAGUUGGGGGUGAAAUCCCGGGGCUCAACCCCGGAACUGCCUCCAAAACUAUUGGUCUAGAGUUCGAGAGAGGUGAGUGGAAUUCCAAGUGUAGAGGUGAAAUUCGUAGAUAUUUGGAGGAACACCAGUGGCGAAGGCGGCUCACUGGCUCGAUACUGACGCUGANGUGCGAAAGUGUGGGGAGCAAACAGGAUUAGAUACCCUGGUAGUCCACACCGUAAACNAUGAAUGCCAGUCGUCGGGUAGCAUGCUAUUCGGCGACACACCUAACGGAUUAAGCAUUCCGCCUGGGGAGUACNGNCGCAAGAUUAAAAUUCAAAGGAAUUGACGGGGGCCCGCACAAGCGGNGGAGCAUGUGGUUU